CAGGGAGCUGGGGCAGCCUGCUGUGCGGAGCUGGGGGAGGAGGAGGGAGCCCUGGGGGACAGACAGAAGGACCAUCGAAGGAGAAACCCUGCUGGCCUCGGGACCUGGAGGAAAGAACCAGGGCCCGUGCUCCUUGGGCCAGGAUCCGGCGAUUGGACGGAACCUCUCGGAUUCCCCAGUGCUGUGAAAUCCACUUGGGGCCAUCACACCCUUCAUUGCUGUGCUCCCUGGCAGAACUCGAAUGCAGCGUGAGCUGGGCACUUUUCCCAGGGUUUGCUCUAGGUCUGGGUCUCCCAUCAGCUCCCCCGGAGCAGAGCCUGAGGCAAGGAUUCUUGUUCGGGGGCAUCUUCCUCUCAGCACCGUGCUUUGGGAAUCGAGUGAUGGUGCUGAGUGAACCCCUGAGUGAACAUCUGUGGCUUCCUCCCACCUCGUCUCUGGAUGCACUCCUGUUCGAAUGGGUGUCUGUACAUGCUUGUCCCCUCCCCACGGUGGCGUGCUCAAUGGUGGCUCCCCACAGAUAUGUCCGUGUCCUAAUUCCCGGAGCCUUUGGGUCUCAUGUAGCCAAUGAUGUGAAAAAGUGAAGGAUGCUGAGAGGAGAUCAUCCAGGUGGGCUCUGAACAGUAUCCUGUGCAUCUUUCUAAUAAGAGGGGUUCACCGGGAUCCUGUGCAUCUUUCUAAUAAGAGGGGCUCACCGGGUGCGGGGGCUCACGCCUAUCAUCCCAGCACUUUGGGAGGCCAAGACGGGCAAAUCACGUGAGGUCUGGAGUUUGGAACUAGCCUGGGCAUCAUGGUGAAACUCCGUCUCUACUAAAACUACAAAAAUCAGCCAGGCGUGGUGGCCUGUAAUCCCAGCUACUCCGGAGGCUGAGGCCUGAGAAUCGCUUGAACCCGGGAGGUGGAGAUCACGCCAUUGCACUCCAGCCUGGGUGACAGAGUGAAACUUCACCUGAAAAAAAAAAAGAGGGUUCCACAGAGGGGACGCAAACAGGAGGGGACAGCGUGGCCAUGGAGGCAGCAGGGAGUGGCACAGCCAUCAUGACAAUAAGAAAAGACAGGACUUAAACACAUAAAUAAUUUCCACUGUUUUAAACUACCAUGUUUGUGGUAAUUUGUUACAGCAGUGGCAGGAAAUUAAUACACCCAUCUUUAGGACACAAGCGUUCCCCUUUCUCAGGCUAGACACGGUGGCUCACACCUAUAAUUCCAGCACUUUGGGAGGCCCAGGUGGGAGGAUCAUUUGUGCCCAGGAGUUUGAGACCAGCCUGGGAAACACAGUGAGAUCCCAUCUCUACAAAAAACUAAAAAGACACAGACAUGAGCCACUGUGCCUGGCCUCCGAAUUAUGUUUCUUUGCUAUAUUUUGAAAUGGCCCUGCAAAGCCAUCUUUUGUGGGGGGAGAUAUGCGUCUAUAAGGAAUUUCAGGCCGGG
rnacentral:lncRNA from 1 species